AGGCCUGCUGCAGGGGCUACCUGGCCAGGAAAGCAUUUGCCAAGCGGCAGCAGCAGCUUACUGCCAUGAAGGUCCUCCAGCGGAACUGCGCUGCCUACCUGAAGCUGCGGAACUGGCAGUGGUGGCGGCUCUUCACCAAGGUGCGUGCUAGAAGGGCCUCCUGAGUAGCUGGGACUACAGGUGCACACCACCAUACAUACCUGGCUAAUUGUUUGUAUUUUUUGUAGAGGUAUGGUCUCACUAUGUCGCCCAGGUUGGUCACAAACUCUUGGGCUCCAGCAAUCCUCCCACCUCAGCCUCCCAAAGUGCUGGAAUUACAGGCAUGAGCCACUGUGCCCAGCCCUUUUUGAUUUUUAGUAGAGACAAGGUCUCGCUAUCUUGCCUAGGCUGACCUUCCUGG
rnacentral:sRNA from 1 species